rnacentral:lncRNA from 1 species
UUUAAGACGCUGGAAGGGCACAAUUGUCAAUUCAUCCUCCUUGACUUUAAUUGCCACCAAAAGAAAUGCUUAUAUUUACUGAACUUAAUUGCCACCAUCAUUUCUAACGAAGGCCUUUUGAUUCCCUUUCUCCUCCCAUAUCGACCUCAUCACUCUCUCUCUCUCUCUCUGUAACUUUCUUCGUUUUCCUAAUGACUCUUACAUUUUGUGUAUUCUUUAGGUCACACAUUCAAUAUUUGUAUCAAUGCAAGAAAGGCUUGAGUGUUUCUACUUUGGUGAACAGUCGGAAUCAGAAACCCUAGCCGGAGCCAUUUGUCGCCUGCACUAAAGGCACCAAAAAGAUAAAUAAACCCUUCUUCUCCACGAUUCAGGUUGCUUCGUUUUCAGGGAAUUUGGUUACCUAAUCAGUAUUGUUGGCAGUGUUGUUGGGUGAAUCUGUAUGGUUGAAUAUACCCAGAUCAGGAAAUAAGGUUUUAUUUGUUUUGGGUUUUGUCGAACAUAUCAAGACUCCGAGGAAAGGUGAUGUCAUUAAGAAGCAGAUCAAGGAUGUUUUUGACAGAGAGCUUUAAGGAAACUGAAGCAUUGGGACGGUUUGGAGCAUAUACUUCAUAACCAAGUACUAAUGGUAGCAGCAUUUUCUUCUCGAGGCCUGAAUAUAAAAGAUCAUAAAUUUUCCGAUGCAGAUUAUUUGAAACUGGAAGCACCAGAUUCUUUGAACUGGGCUUUUUGGUCAUGGAACAGAUGAGCCUAAUUAUGAAGGUAAACAUGUAAUUAUAUAUGUAAUUUGUUUCAACAAUCAUCGACUCUUAUACAUCCUCCUACUUAUCAAACACCAUCCAACCCAGCUGCGGCCAUCACAGAGUCCUUUUUCGGACAAUUUUGGACUUAUUGUUUUGGGCUUGUUUAACUUGAUUUGGACGGGGGAGAUUUCCAUAUAGCGGGGUUCUUUUCAAUGUAACUCGUUUGCAAUCCAUCACAUGAAUAACAUCUCACUGAGUUGUUCCAACUUCCAUGCCCUGUAUAGAGGCGAUAGAUGAUAAGUCACCACCAUAUCCUCUUUGUUUCGUUUUUUAUAAGCUCAACAAUCAUGAACUGUCUUUUUUGUCCAGCGUGGCAUUGUGCAAUUUGCCUUGUUUUUGUUACCUUUAACUCUUCAGCCGCAACUUUUUUGACAGCCGAAGUAUCAACUUCCUCCUUGACCUUAAAGUGCAUCACUCUUAGAAACUGCUUGACGAUAUUCAUCAAGAGACAUGUGUAACUCUCUUUCAGCUUUGAGAUCUCUUAUAUAAACUAGAGUUACCUCAUCUUACAAAUCCAAAUCAGCUUGAGACAAUUUUGUUUUCCAUGUCUCGAGCUGCAUUAGUAGUAUCUUAUUUUUUUUCCCUUGUUACAUAGUCAUUGUAUUUCUCUGUAUUUUGUCAUCAUCAAGUACUAUUUGAUGGACAAGGUAUUUGCUGAGAUGAGAAGAUGUUAUACCGUGUGCGCCAUCUUUUAGUAUCUAUGCUUUUUUACAUCUUCUGGACGAGUGAGGUACCCUUUGUAAAUCUAGAGAUGCAAUUUUGAUUAUCAAAAACCUGAGGUGUGAGCUGAGUACUUCACGUGUUUGUUUUCACUAUUCAGAAAUACUAAUAAUAGCUGAACCAAGUUUCACAACUUUUGAAUAACAGACAGAAUCACUAAGUUGAAAACAUGGGUACGUGUCAUUAAGAUAGAAUGUGAGGUUUGAUUCGUUUAAACCAGAGGCUUUGACUUGACAACUGUGCAUAAGAAGGUUUGACUUGUGUUGGGGAAGUGUGAGCAUGACCUAACUAUAUUGGAGUUGAGUCCCUAGCUCUUUUAACACCUUAAUUCCACCUUUACCUUGUACUUGCAAGUCACAUUUGUAAGGGGACAACAUAUCACUACACCAAUAGGUCAUGAUGAUGAUAUUUGUGGUGAUGACCUAUUUAUCAAUUUUGAGAUCAGGAGAC